UACCACUUGUUGCCUCGGCGGAUCAGCCCGCUCCCGGUAAAACGGGACGGCCCGCCAGAGGACCCCUAAACUCUGUUUCUAUAUGUAACUUCUGAGUAAAACCAUAAAUAAAUCAAAACUUUCAACAACGGAUCUCUUGGUUCUGGCAUCGAUGAAGAACGCAGCAAAAUGCGAUAAGUAAUGUGAAUUGCAGAAUUCAGUGAAUCAUCGAAUCUUUGAACGCACAUUGCGCCCGCCAGUAUUCUGGCGGGCAUGCCUGUUCGAGCGUCAUUUCAACCCUCAAGCACAGCUUGGUGUUGGGACUCGCGUUAAUUCGCGUUCCCCAAAUUGAUUGGCGGUCACGUCGAGCUUCCAUAGCGUAGUAGUAAAACCCUCGUUACUGGUAAUCGUCGCGGCCACGCCGUUAAACCCCAACUUCUGAAUGUUGACCUCGGAUCAGGUAGGAAUACCCGCUGAACUUAAGCAUAUCAAUAAGCGGA
rnacentral:rRNA from 1 species